GGGAGGGAUGCACAUUCUGUAAACAGGAAUAGGUGCGUCACCGGUCACUGAGCUAAAGUUAGCUAGUUAGUCACAGAAAUGUACGUUCAGUCUUAUUUAUUUCAGUCCGAUUUGACUUCUUACGAAGUCAUUAUGGCUCAACAUAGUUUUUCAUUUUUGAACUUGACAUUGUUGCUGGAUAGAUACUUUCAUAGCUAACAUGCUGGUGCUGCUAGCUAGCUAAUGCUAAUGGUGCAAGCUAACGAAGGUUACAUAUGUAACCACGGUUAUGUGAGCUAAACUCAGCAAAAAAAUAAAUGUCCUCUCACUAUCAACUGCAUUUAUUUUCAGCAAAACUUAACAUGUGUAAAUAUUUGUAUGAACAUAACAAGAUUCAACAGACAUAAACUGACAAAGUUCCACAGACAUGUGCUGCACCACCUGGGGAUGUAGGCUCCAGUCCCAAGGUGGCGGACCCUCCCUCAAGAGAAUAUCCGCUGCCACAUUCAGGAUGUCAGGUAUGUGCGCUGUGCAUAGAGACGCUAGACAGCCCUGAGCAGAGAAGGAGCUCCUGUGCCUUAAGAUGGAGGCGGUGGGACCGCAGUCCACCCUGAUGGUUGAUGUAAGCCACCACUGUGGUGUUGUCCGUUCUCACCAGGACAUGUCUUCCUUUCAGAUGUGGAAGGAAAGACCGCAAGGCCAGCAGUACAGCUCUAGUGUAUUUUUUUAUUAUUAUUUUUUUAUCCCAUUUUCUCCCCAAUUUUCGUGGUAUCCAAUCGCUAGUAAUUACUACCUUGUCUCAUCGCUACAACUCCCGUACGGGCUCGGGAGAGACGAAGGUCGAAAGCCAUGCGUCCUCCGAAGCACAACCCAACCAGCCGUACUGCUUCUUAACACAGCGCGCCUCCAACCCGGAAGCCAGCCGCACCAAUGUGUCGGAGGAAACACUGUGUACCUGGCCCCCUUGGCUGGCACGCACUGCGCCCGGCCCGCCACAGGAGUCGCUGGAGCGCGAUGAGACAAGGAUAUCCCUACCGGCCAAACCCUCCCUACCCCGGACGACGCUAUGCCAAUUGUGCGUCGCCCCACGGACCUCCCGGUCGCGGCCGGCUGCGACAGAGCCUGGGCGCGAACCCAGAGACUCUGGUGGCGCAGUUAGCACUGCGAUGCAGUGCCCUAGACCACUGCGCCACCCGGGAGGCCCUAGCUCUAGUGUAUUGAUGUGCCUGCCGCUCCAAGGGGGUAGCCAACAGCCGCUGGCUGACCUGCUCUUGGUCACACCCCCCCCAGACGAUCUGGGAGGGGUCUGUGCUGACCAGCUCCCGGCGGCACAUCCUCAGCAUCUCCACCCCACCUGAGAGAAAGGAGCGACAGCGCCACCUCAACAAUGCCUUGAGGCACUGUGCGGUCACCCGCAGCUGGUGAUGACGGUGGCGCUCCGGGUGCAGCCGGUGGGAGUUGAACCACCAUUGAAGAGGCCGGAGCUGGAUCAGGUCCAGGGGAAUAAGCAACAAGGCCGCCGUCAGCAAGCACAAAUGGCAUUGACAGGUCAGGGCAGAUACCACCCGCCUCUGCCGAAAGUGGUUGAGGCAAGAUGGAUCACCUGAACCCUUCUGGUGGGCAGGCGUGCUCUCAUGAGGACUGAGUCAGUUCCAUGCCAAUGAAGGCCACCCUCUGGGUGGGUGUCAGAUGACUCUUUCUUGUCAUUUACAGUAAUGCCCAGCCCGCCGAUGUGGGUCAGGAGCAUGUCUGUCUGACAGGACCUGGGUCAUGGUCGGGGCACAAAUAAGUCAAUCGUCCAGGUAAUGGUGAGAGGUGCCAGGACAGCAUCCAUGCCAGGACAGUAAGCCGUUUCUUCGAAGUGAAUUGGAGGUACUGCCAAUGAGCUCGGUGAACAGGAACAUGGAAGUGUAACAGUUUAACUUUAGUCCGUCCCCUCGCCCCGGGCGCGAACCAGGGACCCUCUGCACACAGACAACAGUCACCCACGAAGCAUCGUUACCCAUCGCUCCACAAAAGCCGCGGCACUUGCAGAGCAAGGGGGACCACUACUUCAAGGUCUCAGAGCAAGUCACGUCACCGAUUGAAAGGCUAUUAGCGCGCACCACUGCUAACUAGCUAGUCAUUUCACAUCCGUUACAGAAGCCCUCAGGUCCAGUGCCACAAACCACUGGUCCCUGGACACUGCCUGCAACACGAGGCUGGGGACAGCAUGUGGAACCUCAGUACCCAUUGAGGUUGCGGAGGUCCAGAAUCGGUCGACACCCUCUGUCUCUUUUUGGAACCACAAAAUAAGUUGAGUAGAACCUAGCUAGUCGUUCUGAUGUCUCGAUCCUACAGAUGACACCCUUGUCCAGGAGUGAGGAGAUCUCCAGCUGCGGGGUUUUCUUCGGGGGGGGUUGGUCACCGUGGUGACACGAAGGCCCCUGAAGGAAGCGGCCGGCACCCGGAAUUUAAGUCGGUACCUCUCGAGCAUUGUAAACACCCAGGGGGACUCCACACCCUCCUCCCACUUUGCCCUUUGAGACCUGGAGAAGCGCCGAGGCCAGGGAAGGGUGUGUCAGGGGUCCUGCCGGGGCCCGCCUCUCCUCUGGCGCCCCGAGCACCUGGGUCUCCCAGGCACGUCCCUAUGGCGGUGACAGAUGAUACCAUCACACCUGUCACAAAUGGAAGCCAUAAGCUAAACCAAGCCAACCAUGCCAUAGAGCAGGGGUCCGACACCCUGGGAGAGCUUAUUGUCGUGACCCCCUUGGAGGAAUAGGAACCCGGUGAGGGAUAAUUUACCCAGUACCUCUGCAAACACAGGGGCUGACCCCUGUGGGAAAAACAGGAAGACAAAAAGAACAGCAACCAAGUAAUGGAUUUGUUUUUUGUUUUUACACCAACUGCAGGUUAAUAUCAAGCAGUAAAAACAGCACCAUAUGGAGUAACACCCGUUAAGGAACCCCAAAGUUACUGUCUCAACGUCGUUUUCCACGUUACUCACUCUGUAGGGGAAAGAAACAGCACCUACAGCCGGGGAGCAGCAUGUUAAGCAAUUCACAACAGACAUAGAACAAGCCAGUCGGCAAGUUGUGUAAGGUAAAUUACAGUUUGUUGAUCGGCAAGAGCCACCAAUAUAUUAAUGCACACGGAGUUGUAGUGUACACAAGCACGACAAUCCACUGGCAGAAGAUACAGAUCAACCAAGUGGCGCAAUCAAGAAGGGCUGGCCAUGUGGCCAGCUGUUCCAGGAUGCAAACAGCCAGAGAGUACACUUCCACGCAAGAUAUUACACUUAUCAAGCGAUCUUCAGAAAGCUUGUACCUCAAACCAUACAGACGUCUGCCGAGAAAAUGAAAGAGAACGUGUGCGGCCAUGGGGUCUAUAUAUAGGAGCGGACCCCAGCUGUGACACGUGUGUACACGGAAGUAAAUCUGUAAAUCCUCAACUCGGAUGUAUCCCUCCGCCGCGGAGUGAUACCAAUAUAGUGAAACAACCUCUUAUCUUGGAUGCCUCACUCUAGUUCCCGAGAGAGAGCACCAUACUGGUUAGCCAACUUUGUUUUCUAACUUUGUAAUCAUCUGUAAAGUUAUUUUACAUGCAAUCAUAGAAGCUAGAUAUAUUUUGUUAAAAAGCCUGUUGUCAUUCAUUGGUUGUUUCUUUGGAGCUAGCUAAGCUAUCACCAGCUAGCUAACGUUAGGUGGAUAAUAAUGUGAUGUACAGUAGGCUACAGUAACGUUACCGUUACAGUAUUACUGAAUGACAACAAUAUAGCCUUGUCACUAUUAGUUGGCAAGUUGGUUGAUGUGGGGUGCAGUAGAAUACGGUACAAUAUUACUAAAUGAUAACGUAGCCUUGUGACCAGCUAGUAGUUGGUUGAUGGGGUAGGGUACUGUCACGCCCUGACCGUAGAGAGCUUUUUAUGUCUCUAUUUUGGUUUGGUCAGGGUGUGAUUUGGGUGGGCAUUCUAUGUUAAUUUUCUAUGUUUUGUAUUUCCUUGUGUUUGGCCGGGUGAGGUUCUCAAUCAGAGGCAGCUGUCUAUCGUUGUCUCUGAUUGAGAACCAUACUUAGGUAGCUUUUUCCCACAUGGUUUUUGUGGGUAGUUAUUUUCUGUUUAGUACCUGACAGGACUGUUUCGGUUAUUCUCGUUGUUAUUUUGUUCUUAGUGUUCAGUUUCAAUAAAAAUCAUGAACACUUACUGUUACGUUCCCCAGUUUCUGUGUUGUAGUUUGUAUUUGAGUGUGUGUGUUUCAGGAGAUGGCAUCCUGAAAUUCUCCCCACGCAGCUGAUUGGUCGGCCCCAAUUGAUGAUUGGAGAGCUGACCCCGCCCCCUCGUCAAGAUACAGCUGUCUCUAAUUACCAAUGCCUUCUGAAGCUAUAAAAGCCAGUGUUCUGUUGUUCAGAAGAGAGAUGAUAGGCAGGCAUGGAACAUUGCUGAGAGUGGAGGUUUAUGGCUGAGGGUUAUAGCAUAUUGGUUGUUGGUAUGUACUGUGUUAGUUGUUGCUGGGAGCAGUUGGUAUGUUCCGUGUGAGAUUGUUGCUCAGCUAGAGCUUAUUUGAUGUCCUUUGUUUCUUAGUUUGUUUGAGAUAGUUUGAUAUUCUGUUUCAUUUGUUCCCAGGGGGGAAGGGGAAGGCACCUAGGGAGUGCUUAGGCAAGAGGCCCGUGGGCAUACAUAUACCCGUAGUAUAUUCACUGUCUAGGCACACUAGGUAAGACCUGGGUGGACCGCCCCCUGUAUUUUGGUUAGUGCACCAGGUGGUGCUAAGUUAGGUAAGUAGUGAGUAGGCAGGUUAGAUAGGAGAGGUGGAGCUUUGACAUUGACUUUCUUUGCUUUGGUUCUGCCCAGCCCCUUUUCCCCAUAUUACCGUGUAAAGGAAAUAAAUCCUAGUAAGCGGUCAAUUCUGCCUUUUGUCGUCCUUUCUCGCACCUACAGUUCAUACCUAUUUCACUUCACGGGGAGUUGAGUUGCAGGAGGGUGUUGCAUUCCCUCCACAGAGGCGUGUGUAACACUUAACACGCUGCGCUUUGGUCCACACCUUCUUCAACAGAUGACCGUUACAGGCCCUUCAUUCCCAAACCUGAAGCCCUUUGUCCCCAGCAGGAAAGACCAGGAGAAAGUGUUGGCUUAACCUCUACUUAAGAUCUGCCAUGCACUCCACCACUGCCCGACAGGCCCAGUGUAUGCACUUCUGGGUGAGGCUAUCAAGACUGACAAAAGCAGAGAUGGGUGGUUGACAAGGAAAAAUUAAACACAACAUGCACACACACUCUGUCACACACACAUUAUCCCCAAUGUAAAUAAAUUGUAAUUACUUGUUUUUAUGUAUGCUCCAUUUUAUUUUAGGAUUGGAGAGAUUUAUGCCUACAUAUCCAUUAUCGAUAUCUACAUAAUUACUCUAAAUAUCUAUCCAAUAAAAGUGUGACUGUAAAUAUUGUAUAAGACUAUUGUGUAAUUUUUCAGAGUUGAAAACAGGCUUCCCUCACACACACAUUAGACCCAAUGUAAAUACAUUGUUUAUUUUAUGUAUGCCCCAUUUUAUUUGAGGAUUGUG